ensembl:lncRNA
CAGCAUUGAACUAGAUCUUCAGUUUCCUGACAAUUUCUCCCAUGGAAUAGCCUUCAUUUCUCAGAACAAGAAUAGACUGAUGAAUUUCAGAAGAAAGUUUGAGCAUGUAAUUUAAUUAGCCUUUUAAAAUAAUAAAGUUGGAUUAUCAAACACAAUGUGCCAUUGGAACAUGGGACUGAUUGUUGCUGAUAAUGGGCCUCUGUGCACCUAUGUAGAUUUUCCAUUAAAAAUCUAUCAUUUCCAGAUGAUCUGUGAUGCUGCCUGCAUCUUUACCAAUGUGGAGGCAAAGUGGCCUGGGUCCGUCCAUGACUCCCGAGUUUUAAGGUCCAGUACCAUUUCCCAGCGACUAUCACAAGAGAAUCUUGGAGUUGGAUAGCAGUGCAACUCAUUAAGAGUACCUGUAUAUUGAUGAAGCAGGCUUCAAUCUUCACAAAAAAAGGAGUAGAGGGAGAAUUGUGAUUGGCCAUCGUGCUACAGUCAAUGUCCCUGGACAACGAGGAGGCAACAUCACUCUCUGUGCCACAAUUUCUACAACUGGUGUUGUGCCACACAAUGCUGUCUUGGGACCAUACAACACAGCAAGGCUCCUACAUUUUUUAAACCUCCUCAAUGAAAUCCUCUUUCCUCAGGGUGAUCAGGAGCAAAUGGUGCAGAAUUUUGUAGUUGUUUGGGACAAUGUCCAAUUCCACCAUUCAGCACUAGUGCCAGAGUGGUUUGAGAAUCACCCACAUUUCAGGAUGUUGUUCCUUCCACCAUAUUCUCCUUUCCUGAAUCCAAUUGAGGAAUUCUUCUCCUCUUGGAGAUGGAAAGUACAUGAUCGCAACCCUUACAACCAAGUAAGUCUUCUUCAAGCGAUGGAAGAGGCCUGUGGAGAUACUGGGGCACAAGCAUGUCAAGGAUGGAUACAGCAUUCAAGGCGUUUUUUCCCACGAUGCAUGAUUUGUGAUAAUAUUUGCUGUGAUGUUAAUGAAAUUCUCUGGCCAGAUGGAAUUGAGAGGCAUG